rnacentral:rRNA from 1 species
GACGAACGCUGGCGGCGUGCCUAAUACAUGCAAGUCGAACGCAGUGGGGACGGGUGAGUAACACGUGGGUAACCUCCCAUCAGAGGGGAUAACACUUGGCAACAGGUGCUAAACCCAUACUGCUGGCUGGCCCCGCGGUGCAUUAGCUAGUGGGGGGGGUAACGGCUCACCAAGGCGACGAAGCAUAGACGACAGGAGAGGGUGAUCGGCCACACGGGGACUGAGACACGGCCCAGACGCCUACGGGAGGCAGCAGGAGGGAAUCUUCGGCAAUGGACGAAAGUCUGAUCGAGCAACGCCGCGUGAGUGAAGAAGGUUUUCGGAUCGUAAAACUCUGUUGUUAGGGAAGCGGUAUCUAAAGAGAAAGCCACGGCUAACUACGUGCCAGCAGCCGCGGUAAUAC